rnacentral:rRNA from 1 species
UUCCGGUUGAUCCUGCCGGAGGCCAUUGCUAUCGGAGUCCGAUUUAGCCAUGCUAGUCGCACGGGUUUAGACCCGUGGCAGAUAGCUCAGUAACACGUGGCCAAACUACCCUGUGGACGGGAAUAACCUCGGGAAACUGAGGCUAAUUCCUGAUACUGCUCUCGUGCUGGAACAGCAGAGAGCUGGAAACGCUCCGGCGCCACAGGAUGUGGCUGCGGCCGAUUAGGUAGACGGUGGGGUAACGGCCCACCGUGCCGAUAAUCGGUACGGGUCAUGAGAGUGAGAGCCCGGAGACGGAAUCUGAGACAAGAUUCCGGGCCCUACGGGGCGCAGCAGGCGCGAAACCUUUACACUGCACGACAGUGCGAUAGGGGGACUCCGAGUGCGAGGGCAUACAGUCCUCGCUUUUCUGUACCGUAAGGAGGUACAAGAAUAAGGGCUGGGCAAGACCGGUGCCAGCCGCCGCGGUAAUACCGGCAGCCCAAGUGAUGGCCGCUAUUAUUGGGCCUAAAGCGUCCGUAGCCGGCCAGUCAAGUCUGUUGGGAAAUCCACGCGCCUAACGCGUGGGCGUCCAGCGGAAACUGACUGGCUUGGGGCCGGAAGACCUGAGGGGUACGUCCGGGGUAGGAGUGAAAUCCCGUAAUCCUGGACGGACCACCGGUGGCGAAAGCGCCUCAGGAAGACGGACCCGACGGUGAGGGACGAAAGCUAGGGUCUCGAACCGGAUUAGAUACCCGGGUAGUCCUAGCCGUUAACGAUGCUCGCUAGGUGUGGCGCAGGCUACGAGCCUGCGCUGUGCCGUAGGGAAGCCGUGAAGCGAGCCGCCUGGGAAGUACGUCUGCAAGGAUGAAACUUAAAGGAAUUGGCGGGGGAGCACUACAACCGGAGGAGCCUGCGGUUUAAUUGGAUUCAACGCCGGG